AUGAAAGCAGAACUUGAAAAGGAGGGACCAUCCAAAGGGAGCUGGAAUUGGGAAGAGAUGCAGUUUGAGUCAAAGACAAGUGCCAAAAUGAGUGAGGAGAGAAAACCUCUGCCUCUUUCUUUGUUCUCAAGUCUCUUGAUGGUGCUUAUCAUUGGCCAAGGCACUGAAGGAGCCCAAGAGGUGCUGUCCACAAGUAGUCAGCGUACUGGGCACAGAGCAGGACAAAGAAGUGCAGAAAUUGAGUUGAGUGGGAGAGAGUGGCAAACGGAGACGACCAGACCCACUAGACGUUGUACUAAGCACUUAAGAAAAUGCCUUAUCAAAACCUGUGUCUGAGCUCUUGAAAUUCAUUUAAGAAGAGUUUCCGUAAUGGCAGUCAAGCAUGAUAAUGAGUCCAGGAAAUCAACAAAGUCCAGCAACAAAGUCUGAAAAUUAGUCUUUUAACCAAGACUUUGAAUCAUUCCUCAGAGGUCAUCUUGGAUCCAAUCUCUGUCAACCAUGGUCUUCAUGAACUCAAGGGUUGAAUUCUGGCUUAGAUGUAAUUCUUGGAAAGGCUGUUAGUUCAACUUUUCUUUGGCUGGUCAAGAUUGUUUUCCAACAGAUUCUUUAGCCAGUAGUGUUACAAUAUACCACCAGAUAAAUCAAGAAAUGAAUAUUGCUGCAGGGCAGAUAAAGAAACACCUAUUGGAACUCUUGUCAUGCUGACAAGAUAAUCUGCAGCAAAUUUGACUCACUAUGUGCAGCCUGAAUACUAUACAUUACAGGAAACACGCAGCUAAUGUAUACCAAGAGCCAAAAAUUCAAUCUGCAAAGGGUCUGCUGAUGGAAAAUGAACUACAGAAUCAUUUGUGAGGCACCUUGGUGGCUCAGUCAGUUAAGCAUCUGCCUUCAGCUCAAGUCAUAAUCCUGGGGUCCUGGGACUGAGCCCCACAUUGUUGGGGUCCCAGCUCAGUGAGGAACUUGCUUCUUCUCCCUCUCCCUCUGCCCUUCCUCUCCACUUGUGCUCAUGGUCUUCUUGUGUGCUCUCUCUCAAAUAAAUAAAUAAAAUCUUUUUUUUUAAAAAAGAAU
rnacentral:lncRNA from 12 species